rnacentral:rRNA from 1 species
UUGAACGCUGGCGGCAUGCUUUACACAUGCAAGUCGAACGGCAGCGCGGGCUUCGGCCUGGCGGCGAGUGGCGAACGGGUGAGUAAUACAUCGGAACGUGCCCAGUAGUGGGGGAUAGCUCGGCGAAAGCCGGAUUAAUACCGCAUACGACCUGAGGGUGAAGGCGGGGGAUCUUCGGACCUCGCGCUCUUGGAGCGGCCGAUGGCAGAUUAGCUAGUUGGUGGGGUAAAGGCCUACCAAGGCGACGAUCUGUAGCUGGUCUGAGAGGACGACCAGCCACACUGGGACUGAGACACGGCCCAGACUCCUACGGGAGGCAGCAGUGGGGAAUUUUGGACAAUGGGCGAAAGCCUGAUCCAGCAAUGCCGCGUGUGUGAUGAAGGCCUUCGGGUUGUAAAGCACUUUUGGCGGGAACGAAAAGGACUGUGCCAAUACCACGGUUCGAUGACGGUACCCGCAGAAUAAGCACCGGCUAACUACGUG